rnacentral:lncRNA from 1 species
CAGAAUUUACUUCAUGUUCUUCUACUGAGUUCUCAUUUAUGAACUGUCCUUCGCAGUCAAUGAUAGUUUCUUUAAUGUUUUUAAAAAUCAAUCAUUUUUGGCAUUACAAAUGAAUUUCAUUUUCUUGAGGAUGUUGUAUGUAAUGAAAUAAUUAUUUUUCUCAGCUGAUAGGAAAAUGUCUCUGGUAAGAUGUUAGCUGGUAGAAGGAAGUUUUAUGUGGAAAGGGUUUACAACAGUUGGAUUUAAUACAUUUGAAAUGUUUUACAUUUAAUUUUACAUCUAAUACAAAAGGUAGGAGAGCAGACCUAUACCAGCCUUGACUAAAACAAAUAAAUACCAGUGGGCUAUAAAGAGAACAUUUUAAAUACAGGCGAAGUCUUUCACUCUAUAAUUGGUACAUAUCUUUAUACUAGAAAAUUUCUUGAAUGAAUAUGAUUGCCUUGGCAAAUAUAAUCAGUUAUGACUUUUUUCCCCAUAGAUUUUGUGGGUUUUAUUAUUUUUUUUCUCUGAUGAAACUCUGAGACAUUGCCAAAUGUUGCAGAAAAUAGAAGUCAGAGUGCCAAAAUAAUUCUCUGGAGCUCUCAGGACUUUGGGUGACCUUGAAGGAAUUCAAUCCUCUCAUACAUAGAAACCUUGAAGAUAAUGAAGGAAAUUCACCUUAUCACAGGGGAAUUAAAACCACAUCUUUUCUAGCAGAUAAAUGCUUCCAAGAAUACUAGAACCCCAAAUUUUGGCUAUUUCAGGGGGAAGUAUCAUGUAUUUCACUUGAAAUGUGUAGUAGUUUAAUAUAUGUCUAUAAAGAAAGGAGCAGUAGCAGCUGUUUUAAUGAUCAUCCAUUAAAAAUUAACUGAAGAAUGGUAGGACACAGAUUCCAGCACCAUAUUGCUAGGAACUUAGUAAAGUACUUAGUUUUUUUCCACCUUGAUUAUUACUUUCAGAUUUUAAUAUAAAAGAGAGGAAUUCAUUGUUCUGACAAAUGGUAUCUUUGGAGCCUUUAAGAGUAAAACCUUUUAAUUUGGUAUUGAAUUUAUUGGGUCUAUCUUUGACCACGUGAUACCACUUACCUGAUUCUAUGUACUGAUUAAUGUAUCUAACAGUUUUAUAGUGAAAGUACUUUUUAAAAAAGUAUUUGAAUGGUCAUUUCUAUUUUUCCCCCUUUGCUGUACAAGUUAAUUUUUACUCAUCUUUUGCUGUACAAAUUAACUUUCAUCAAUACAAAUAAGAGGCUAGUUUUAAGUCAAUUUAUUUGUCAUGAGCCCAGGAACAAUUAAAUUCUAUAAAGUAAUGUAUUAAAAUAGUACACUUUAAAAAUUAUUUUCCUUCUUUUUUUCUCUUUAAAUUUUAAGACCAUCAUAAUAAAUUAUCAUUACAAAGUCAAACAUACUAUAUACUACUAUCAGUCAAUGGGGAAAAAAUAAGUCAUAUGUUUUAUGGUAAAAUGCUGUAAUAGAUUGGAUUGUCAAAUUUGCUUGAAAAAAAUCACAGCAGUUUUUAGUUUUUCUUAUUUGUAGAUUACACGUUACUCAGAAAAUAAGUAUCAAAGUGCUAAAAGUAAUAGGUGUAAUUGCUGUUAUUUGUCAAAAUCAGUUUACAUUUUUGUGGGAAAUACAGAAUCACAAAUAUUUCUUUCUGGCAUUAUGUCCUGAGUUAAAUUCUAGAAAAUUUAGCACCUUUUAUACUCAUAUAGCUGUGACAAUAACUUUAAAUAUGUGAACAUUAGGAAAUUCAAAGCUUAUAUAUUCUUAGAAGCUAAUUUUGACCACGUGCGCAAAUUAUUUUUCUUUUUUAGUAGAAUGGUGCAUUUUUUGCCUUUGUAUUUGAAAUUUAGCUAAAUUACAAUAGCUAUCAGAACUACAAUUGACCUUAGUAAUUUCAAAACCAUAGUUAUAAGGGUUUUAAGUUGAUUUUUAAAAAUCUUAAGAUAUGAUAGGGAUUUCAAAACUAUGUGUGUGUAUCUCUGAUAGGGAGGGGUUGGGGCACAGACUAAUAAGUGUGCCAAAAAUCUGUGAAUCCAAAUGUGUAACAAGUGUUGUCUGAA